rnacentral:lncRNA from 1 species
CAACAGGGAUUCUCCUCCCACUUCUACCAGUUUAAUCAGCUCACCUGGCUUUGCACCAUUUGUAAUGAAGCUUUACCACUAACUCUGAACCAAAGCCUUGUUUGUUUUUCAGCUUCUCCAGGGCUGAAUUUACAUACUGUAAGGAGAGCUGAGUUUACACAGGCAAAAAAUAAACUUGUUGGAAGCUCAGUAUCUGACAUGGCUCAGAGAAUCCAGCCAGGAAGGCAGUGUUUCUGGAGCUGAAACCUGAAUUAAAGAGCAACCCCAUCAGCCUCAAUGAAGACGCCUACUGCUGAUGCCUCUUACCGCAGACCAAAGGACUUUGUACUGCUGCUUGAAACUAACAGAGAAUCUGAGAAAGAUAACCAACUAUUGCAGCAAUAUUGGAGAUGGUGUAUGUUAUACUAGCAAGACAAUUGAACUGAUAUCAUACCUCUUGAUGAAUUUGCCUAAAACAAUGCAGCACACUUCUCUGUCGGUAGGUUCCCAUUUCAGGAAACUUAUGGAUUCCACCCAUGGGUCUCACCACUAACCAGGCAAAAAGUACCAGUUCCUCAUGCCACAGAUUUCCUAUUCAAGUGGCAAGGGGCACAAAACCUCUUAAAGAAACAACUAAAAUUAGCAAAGAUUGUGUGCAAAACAGGAUGCAGACAAGAGUUAAAUAGAAUUACAGAAAGGGAUUUGGUGGUUGCUUCCGGUUUGCUAGGCUGCGGCGGCGGCAGGAAUCCGCAAUCGUGCACGGUUCCUGCUGCGCUCGCUACUGGAGUGCCCCCGAUCCAGCUGGAUUUGGAGGCUAUGGUUGCCCCGUAGAGGCAACCGAAGAGAGGGGAGAUCCGGGUAGGGGCUUGGGGGUAUCGCAAACCCCCUCCUCAGCCAGCACAACUCCCUUUUCCAAAAGCGGUGGAGUGGCGGUCAGCAAUGGCCGCCACAAAGAAGCUUGCAGCCGGACAAGAUUGUGCAGGAGGAAGUCGGAGAAAGUGAAAGUUUUUGGCUGAACCGGGACAAUAAGGAAUUUCUAAAUACCCUGGCAACUUAAUCCUUUAUAUGAUACAUUGUUUCCCAAGAAGAGCGUAAAAGCGGCGGAA